CCUACGGGGGGCUGCAGUCGAGAAUUUUUGGCAAUGGGCGAAAGCCUGACCAAGCGAUGCCGCGUGCGGGAUGAAGGCCUUCGGGUUGUAAACCGCUGUCAGUGGGGAGGAAAGCUUUGCGAAGAGCAAGGCUUGACCUAUCUGCAGAGGAAGUGUGGGCUAAGUUCGUGCCAGCAGCCGCGGUAAGACGAACCACACAAACGUUAUUCGGAAUUACUGGGGUGCAAGGGUGGGGAGGCAAGGCAGAAGUGAAAUCCCUCGGCUCAACCGAGGAACUGCGCCCAAAACUACUGUGCUUGAGGAAGAUAGAGGUAAGCGGAACUUACGGUGGAGCGGUGAAAUGCGUUGAUAUCGUAAGGAACACCUGUGGCGAAAGCGGCUUACUGGGUCUUUUCUGACGCUGAUGCACGAAAGCUAGGGGAGCAAACGGGAUUAGAUACCCGAGUAGUC
rnacentral:rRNA from 1 species